rnacentral:rRNA from 1 species
AACGCGAAGAACCUUACCCAGGCUCGAAAUGGUGAGGACUGCAACAGAGAUGUUGCUUCCCGAAAGGGUCUCACUAUAGGUGCUGCAUGGCUGUCGUCAGCUCGUGCCGUGAGGUGUUGGGUUAAGUCCCGCAACGAGCGCAACCCUUAUUGUCAGUUGCCAACGCGUAAUGGCGGGGACUCUGGCAAGACUGCCUAGGUUAACUAGGAGGAAGGUGAGGAUGACGUCAAGUCCGCAUGGCCUUUAUGUCUGGGGCAACACACGUGCUACAAUGGUAGGUACAGAAGGCAGCGAAGCCGCGAGGCGGAGCAAAUCCGAAAAAGCCUAUCUCAGUUCAGAUUGGAGUCUGCAACUCGACUCCAUGAAGUUGGAAUUGCUAGUAAUGGCGUGUCAGCUACAGCGCCGUGAAUACGUUCCCGGGCCUUGUACACACCGUAGUAC